rnacentral:lncRNA from 1 species
GGUGGGAUAUCCGAACCAUCCCAAAUCCAAUUAAAAGUUUAUCCAAAAAUCUGAAAUCUAUCCUAUCAAAAUAAAUAAAUAAAUAAAUAACUAAAUACGGUAGGACCCAAAUCCGAUUAACCUAUGUUUGGAUGAGAUCAAAUUAGAUCACAACUCCAAAUUUAACAAACAGAAAGAAAUAAAUAGAUUUCUAUCAAAAUAAAAAAAGAAAAGAAAAGAAAAGAAAGAAAAAAAAUAGAUAUAAAUAAUUUGACAAAUUUCCUACUAACAAAGUGUUUUAGUGACAUAUAACCUAAUAUAGGAAAGUAGAGCUUGGCUGAAAAUUUAUUUUGGUCUCAUAUGGUAGAGAUAAAUCUCCAAUAAUUGCCAGCGUUGUCACACAAUUUAUUGCUGCAAUUGCUCACGACUUAUGAGCUUUCAUUGUUCGGUAUGGUACAUUUGCAGGUAGAACAAUGACUAGUAGAUCUAAAGUUCUAAGCUAUUGGGCUAGAUGACAUUCAAAGUGACGCAACAAGCGCUUAUAUCUUACGUGCAUGAUUCCCACUCAUCCAAACUGUACUACAGGAUAUGGCAAUCGAAUCAUGCCAUGCAGACCGUGCCGUGCACGUGCUUCCAUCCUGACGCAAACUCUUGGUCCAGAGCAGUAGCACAUGAGUUUGUUAUUCAUUGCAUCGCAGCUAUGUUUAUUUAAUAAAAAAUUUAAAAAUAUCUUUUUAAUUUUAUUUUAAUAUUAUUUAUAUUAUUUAUAUUUUAAUAAAUAUUAAAUUAUUUUUUUAACUAUCGAUAUAUCUCAAUAUAAUUUAGUUAUUUAUUUACUGAUAUAUGGUAUUAGCUUUUUCUGUUAAUAGAUAGAAAUACCUCUCACUCAAAUGAAAGGGAUCAUCAUGAAGAAGUGAUAAAGAUGGAAGGAGCUAUCAUGAAAGAGGAGGAUAGGAUCGUAGAAAUCAACAUGGAAAGAGAGGACGGUAUUGAAGGCCUCACAUAGAAUUGGAGGAGGAAGAGAAGGGGGUGAGAAAGAUGGAGAGGAGGCCACGGAGGAGAUGACUUAUGAAUAGUUUGGAAGAGGAGGAUGAGAAGGAAGGGAGAAGAUCAGGAGAGAAGGAAUGGCUCACAAACGGCUUGAAAGAAGAAGAUGAUGAGAAGAAAAAAUGGAUGGAGAGGAAGAGAGAAGGGAUGGCUCGUGGGUAGCUCGGAGGGAAGAGGAGAUGGCUUGCGGGCGGCUUGGAAGAGUAGGAUGAGGAGAAAGAGGAAAAAAGAGAGGGGAUGACUCAUGGGUAGCUUGAAGGAGAAAGAGGAUGAGGAGAAGAAGUGGAUAAGAAGGAAAGGAUGGAGGGAAAAGGAGGAAAGGGAAGGAGGGGGCACAUAGAUCACUAACAAAGAAUGAUUAGAGGUGGAGAAAGUCACCAUAGAGGAGAAAGGCUCAUGGGCAAGUUUAGAUGAAGAAGAAGAUGAGAAGAAAA